ensembl:rRNA 5S_rRNA 5S ribosomal RNA
UCCUAUGGCCAUACCACCCUAAAUGCACCUGAUCUUGUCUGAUCUCAGAAGCUAAGCAGGAUUGGGCCUGAUUAGUACUUGGGAUGGGAGAUUGCCUGAGAAUAUCAGGUGCUGUAGGCU